GACGAACGCUGGCGGCGUGCUUAACACAUGCAAGUCGAACGGAAAGGCCCUGCUUUUGUGGGGUGCUCGAGUGGCGAACGGGUGAGUAACACGUGAGUAACCUGCCCUUGACUUUGGGAUAACUUCAGGAAACUGGGGCUAAUACCGGAUAGGAGCUCCUACUGCAUGGUGGGGGUUGGAAAGUUUCGGCGGUUGGGGAUGGACUCGCGGCUUAUCAGCUUGUUGGUGGGGUAGUGGCUUACCAAGGCUUUGACGGGUAGCCGGCCUGAGAGGGUGACCGGCCACAUUGGGACUGAGAUACGGCCCAGACUCCUACGGGAGGCAGCAGUGGGGAAUAUUGCACAAUGGGCGGAAGCCUGAUGCAGCAACGCCGCGUGCGGGAUGACGGCCUUCGGGUUGUAAACCGCUUUCGCCUGUGACGAAGCGUGAGUGACGGUAAUGGGUAAAGAAGCACCGGCUAACUACGUG
rnacentral:rRNA from 1 species